AUACGGAGGGUGCGAGCGUUAAUCGGAAUUACUGGGCGUAAAGCGCGCGUAGGCGGUUUGGUCAGUCGGAUGUGAAAGCCCCGGGCUUAACCUGGGAAUUGCAUUCGAUACUGCCCGGCUAGAGUAUGGGAGAGGGAAGUGGAAUUUCCGGUGUAGCGGUGAAAUGCGUAGAUAUCGGAAGGAACACCAGUGGCGAAGGCGGCUUCCUGGCCCAAUACUGACGCUCAGGUGCUAAAGCGUGGGGAGCGAACAGGAUUAGAUACCCCGGUAGUCC
rnacentral:rRNA from 1 species